rnacentral:rRNA from 1 species
CCUACGGGGGGCUGCAGUGAGGAAUCUUGGUCAAUGGUCGGGAGACUGAACCAGCCAAGCCGCGUGAGGGAUGAAGGUACAGAGUAUCGUAAACCUCUUUUGUCAGGGCACAAAGGCACGGACGCGUCCCCGGAUGAGUGUACCUGAAGAAAAAGCAUCGGCUAACUCCGUGCCAGCAGCGUCGGUAAUAGGGGGGAUGCGGGCGUUGUCGGGAUUUAUUGUGUUUAUCGGGUGCGAGGGGGGUCUGUUAUGUUAGCGGGAAACGCCCGGGCCUAAACCCCGACCCGCCGUGGAAAUUGGCAGCCGUGAGUUGGAGAGAAGUAUGCGGAAUGCGCUGUGUAGCGGUGAAAUGCAUAGAUAUCGCGCAGAACUCCGAUGGCGAAGGCAGCAUGCCGGCUCCACACUGACGCUGAGGCACGAAAGCGUGGGUAUCGAACAGGAUUAGAUACCCCUGUAGUC